CAGCCGCCGCGGGAAUACGUAGGGUGCGAGCGUUAAUCGGAAUUACUGGGCGUAAAGCGUGCGCAGGCGGUUCGUUAAGACAGAUGCGAAAUCCCCGGGCUUAACCUGGGAACUGCAUUUGUGACUGGCGUGCUAGAGUCUCGUAGAGGGGGGUAGAAUUCCAGGUGUAGCGGUGAAAUGCGUAGAGAUCUGGAGGAAUACCGGUGGCGAAGGCGGCCCCCUGGACGAAGACUGACGCUCAGGUACGAAAGCGUGGGGAGCAAACAGGAUUAGAUACCCGCGUAGUCCCUGUCUCUUAUAC
rnacentral:rRNA from 1 species